rnacentral:rRNA from 1 species
UACGUAGGGGGCAAGCGUUGUCCGGAUUCAUUGGGCGUAAAGAGCGUGUAGGCGGCCAGGUAGGUCGGUUGUGAAAACUGGAGGCUCAACCUUCAGAAGUCGACCGAAACCAUCUGGCUAGAGUCCGGGAGAGGAGAGUGGAAUUCCUGGUGUAGCGGUGAAAUGCGCAGAUAUCAGGAAGAACACCCGUGGCGAAAGCGGCUCUCUGGAACGGUACUGACGCUGAGACGCGAAAGCGUGGGGAGCGAACAGG